AUUGAACGCUGGCGGCAGGCCUAACACAUGCAAGUCGAGCGGAGCGGCGGACGGGGGAGUAAUGCCUAGGAAUCGGCCUGGUAGUGGGGGAGAACGUCCGGAAAAGGGCGCGAAUACCGAAUACUAUCAGAUGAGCAACGGUCGGCUUAGCUAGAUGGUGGGGUAAAGGCAUACAACGGCGACGAUCCGUAACUGGUCUGAGAGGAUGAACAGUCACACUGGAACUGAGACACGGUCCAGACGCCUACGGGAGGCAGCAGUGGGGAAUAUUGGACAAGGGGCGAAAGCCUGAUCCAGCCAGGCCGCGUGUGUGAAGAAGGUCUUCGGAUUGUAAAGCACUUUAAGUUGGGAGGCGUUACCAACAGAAUAAGCACCGGCUAACUUCGUGCCAGCAGCCGCGGUAAUUC
rnacentral:rRNA from 1 species